rnacentral:rRNA from 1 species
UACAAGCGAGCGGCGGACGGGUGAGUAACACGUGGGUAACCUGCCCAAGAGACUGGGAUAACACCUGGAAACAGAUGCUAAUACCGGAUAACAACACUAGACGCAUGUCUAGAGUUUGAAAGAUGGUUCUGCUAUCACUCUUGGAUGGACCUGCGGUGCAUUAGCUAGUUGGUAAGGUAAUGGCUUACCAAGGCGAUGAUGCAUAGCCGAGUUGAGAGACUGAUCGGCCACAUUGGGACUGAGACACGGCCCAAACUCCUACGGGAGGCAGCAGUAGGGAAUCUUCCACAAUGGACGAAAGUCUGAUGGAGCAACGCCGCGUGAGUGAAGAAGGGUUUCGGCUCGUAAAGCUCUGUUGGUAGUGAAGAAAGAUAGAGGUAGUAACUGGCCUUUAUUUGACGGUAAUUACUUAGAAAGUCACGGCUAACUACGUGCCAGCAGCCGCGGUAAUACGUAGGUGGCAAGCGUUGUCCGGAUUUAUUGGGCGUAAAGCGAGUGCAGGCGGUUCAAUAAGUCUGAUGUGAAAGCCUUCGGCUCAACCGGAGAAUUGCAUCAGAAACUGUUGAACUUGAGUGCAGAAGAGGAGAGUGGAACUCCAUGUGUAGCGGUGGAAUGCGUAGAUAUAUGGAAGAACACCAGUGGCGAAGGCGGCUCUCUGGUCUGCAACUGACGCUGAGGCUCGAAAGCAUGGGUAGCGAACAGGAUUAGAUACCCUGGUAGUCCAUGCCGUAAACGAUGAGUGCUAAGUGUUGGGAGGUUUCCGCCUCUCAGUGCUGCAGCUAACGCAUUAAGCACUCCGUCUGGGGAGUACGACCGCAAGGUUGAAACUCAAAGGAAUUGACGGGGGCCCGCACAAGCGGUGGAGCAUGUGGUUUAAUUCGAAGCAACGCGAAGAACCUUACCAGGUCUU